rnacentral:tRNA from 1 species
GCCCCCGUAACCCAAUCGGCAGAGGUUGCGCUCUCAAACAGCGUUCAGUGUGGGUUCGAAUCCCACCGGGGGCA